ACUCAAAGGAAUUGACGGGGGCCCGCACAAGCGGCGGAGCAUGCGGAUUAAUUCGAUGCAACGCGAAGAACCUUACCAAGGCUUGACAUGAACCGGUAAUACCUGGAAACAGGUGCCCCGCUUGCGGUCGGUUUACAGGUGGUGCAUGGUUGUCGUCAGCUCGUGUCGUGAGAUGUUGGGUUAAGUCCCGCAACGAGCGCAACCCUCGUUCUAUGUUGCCAGCGCGUUAUGGCGGGGACUCAUAGGAGACUGCCGGGGUCAACUCGGAGGAAGGUGGGGACGACGUCAAAUCAUCAUGCCCCUUAUGUCUUGGGCUUCACGCAUGCUACAGUGGCCGGUACAAAGGGUUGCGAUACUGUGAGGUGGAGCUAAUCCCAAAAAGCCGGUCUCAGUUCGGAUUGGGGUCUGCAACUCGACCCCAUGAAGUCGGAGUCGCUAGUAAUCGCAGAUCAGCAACGCUGCGGUGAAUACGUUCCCGGGCCUUGUACACACCGCCCGUCAAGUCACGAAAGUUGGUAACACCCGAAGCCGGUGGCCUAACCCUUGUGGGGGGAGCCGUCGAAGGUGGGACCGGCGAUUGGGACUAAGUCGUAACAAGGUAGCCGUACCGGAAGGUGCGGCUGGAUCACCUCCU
rnacentral:rRNA from 1 species